GCAACUGCCCGAAUGCUCUUUCAAGGAUGGAUACUCAGUUGGUAGAUGAUGCUGCUGACGAUUUUAUGCCUCCACCUCCACCAAGAUCUGCAGUUCGAGGUCGUCAUUCUGUCAGCCACACUGCUGAUGCCGAUAACGAUUUUCUGCCUCCACCUCCACCAAGAUCUGCAGUUCGAGGUCGUCAUUCCGUCAGCCACAUUGGUGGUACAGGCGAAGACAUCGGUCUUAGUGAUGUCCAACAUUCUCCACCUCGGGCUUUUGUGCGAGACGAUUUUUUCGGGGUUGAUUUAGAGAAUGUCGUUGUGCAAGAUACUCAUCCGUCUAGACUCUCAACCGCCAGAAUCGGGAAGGGUAUCCGUAGCUUUUUUACGCGGAAAAGGCGAGACAAUUGAACGUUUAACAACAAUUUAGUCGAAUUGAACAUUGUUUUGUUUAUAAUCCUCGGUCUUCUGUUUGUACUUAUGUAUUGUGUAAUAUUUGGACUUCUGUAUUUAUGGCUGGCGUUUUUUCUCUGAAACUUUGUCGGUUUUUUAUUCAAAAACGCCAACUUCAUUGGCGUUUUUGUAGAAACACGCCAAUGUGGCUGGCGAGUUUAUACAGAAUGUCUGGUUCUUUCGUCGAAAAAAUUGGCAAAAAUUUAUCCAUCUUAGAGACGCCAAUGUGAUUGGCGUUUUUCAUUGAAAAACGCCAAUGUAAUUGGCGUGUUAUAAAAAUCGCCAAUGUGAUCGGCAAGUUUUUACAGAAUGUCGACUUCAUUCAACGAAGAAAUUGUCUAAAAUUUCUCCAUCUUAGAGACGCCAAUUAGAUUGGCGUUUUUGUAGAAACACGCCAAUGUGGCUGGCGAGUUUUUACAGAAUGUCUGGUUCUUUCGUCGAAAAAAUUGGCAAAAAUUUAUCCAUCUUAGAGACGCCAAUGUGAUUGGCGUUUUUCCAUGAAAAACGCCAAUGUGAUCGGCGAGUUUUUACAGAAUGUCGACUUCAUUCAACGAAGAAAUUGUCUAAAAUUUCUCCAUCUUAGAGACGCCAAUUAGAUUGGCGUUUUCAGAAAAUUGUCGCCCUUUCCUCUAUCUCUUUAUUCUCUUUUUUUCAUUUUAAUUAGGGAGUACUAAUUUCAUUUAUCCAAAACAAUGAAAAAACACCAAUAUCAAGAGGAUGUAUCAAAUUCCUAAUAUAAAAAGUUCAGACGUCAGGGAGAGUGUCGUUUUUAAUAAACCAUAACAAUGUUCAACUGGAGAAAUGAACACAAAAAUUGUUAUAAAGCUAUAAUGAUCAAUUCAACUAAAUACUUGUUAAAUGUUCAAUCGUCCCGCCUUUUCCGCAUAAACAAACCACGGAUUCCCUUCCCGAUUCUAGAGGUAGGGAGACGAGACGGAGGAGUAUCUUGCACAACCAUGUUCUGUAAAUCAGCGCCAAAGAAGUCGUCUCGCACAGAAGAACGAGGUGGAGAUUGGGGGACAUCACUUAGACCGAUAUCUUCACCGGUUCCACCAGUGUGGCUAACUGAAUGCCGUCCUCGAACGACGGAGCUUGAUGGAGGUGGAGGCAUAAAGCUGUCAUCGGAAUCCACUACCAUCCUUGCGGAUGACGACUCUUCACCCGCUUUCUUCUUACCACGCCGCUUCCCUUUUUGCCUCACGGGCAUGUCAAUGCCCAGCUCAGACCGCUGGGAAGGACGACAGUCCAUCAUCUCAGGUUCCCCAGAUAUGUGCAGGCCGUCUUCAACCAUCCUAGAAAUAGUGUACAAAGCUGGAUGUCCUGACAUGUCUUGCUCACUAAGAUAGUGGCGUAUUCUGUGUAGCGUCUCCACCUACAAUUUUUAAAGUUAAAUAUAUUUCAUCAUAUGAAAUAAAAUAAUGAAUAGUUGUUUCAAUUUACCGCGUAGUUAUGAGAGGUUGCCGUUUGCUAGAAGCCCUCCUGAGCAUGCACGUCAGGUUUUGUUAUGUACACCACGGUUAUCCGGCGAAACCAAUCCAUGUACUCAUCAAGUGCAAUAGGCUCCAUUGAGUACUCCAAAUCCACGUACACCGUGUCGUGCCUAUUAUCCCAAGCCUGUAAAUGAUUGGCGUGCCAGUCAACCCAAUUUCGUCCAGCUUUGCCACGUCCAGUGUUGUUAGGGUCGCGGGUCGGUCCGGGGCGCUGAGGCUGGACCCCGAGUCGCGGGGCGCUGGGGCGAGGGACCCACGAAUCGGGACGUAAAAUUAUUUAUUAUUUAUAUAUUAGUAAUAAUAAUGAUUAAAUAUAGUUCACUAAUAUAUAAAUAAUUAUACUUACGUAAUAGGAAGGAAAAAAAAUUAAAUUUCAAUCUUUACAUUGGCUAGAAAAUAAUUAUUGAAGGAAUUACAGUCUAUUUACUUGUUUUGAUACUUAAAAUGAAUUUUAUAAUUAAUUUAUUUUGAUACUUAAAAUGAAUUUUAUAAUUAAUUUAUUUUGAGGAAAGAUGAAAAGUUUGCAGUGAUAAUAAAUUAAUAUUAUACAAAAGUGAAAAAGUAAAAAGUUGAACUGAUUGGAGGUAAGAGGCGGUGGUGUGUGCCUAAGUUUUAUCAAAAGGACUUCAUUGUAUUAAAAUAUUAAUAAAAAGAAAAGAUCAGCUUCAUCUCUCUUCUUCUCUCUCUACAGAGAAACUUCGUCGCUCCACCGUCGCCCGCCUGCGCUUCAGCCGCCCCAACCGCCCCGGCUCGCUCCAACCCGCCCCAGUCUCGCCCCAGCCCUCCCCAUGAAUAUCGUUCGGCCCAGGGUGGCUGGGGCGACUACAGCCGCGCCCUGACCGCCCCACGCCCCAAGCGCGCCCCAAGCGCGAUUUUCAUAACACUGGCCACGUCGAUCCUGUUUCAAAAAAUCAGCACCGUGGAACCUGUUGACAAGCAGGAUAUAGGGUUGGACAAUCCCAAAUUGUCGCAACACUCACUCUGGCACGUAUGGCUCAACCAGAUUCCAGCAAAUAAUGGUUGUGCUCGACGUCCAUAUAGGACGACCGGCAACACAAACAUCCGGCAGGUUUCGGUGGACAUACGGCCUCCAAAUAAACUACAUAAGACACAAAUUUAGUCAAAACAAGUUCAACCAAAACGUCAUACAAACACCAAUUUAGGUUAUGUAAAUUACUUGGUCGGCAUGCAUUCUAGAGAACUGCUCUCUAAAAGUUUCAAUGCAAUGCCCGGGUGCUUUUACAUAAGAGGCCGGAUCAGUCCAUCUACAAAAAAUAAAUUAUGAGCGAAUAACACGUCAAUUAUUAAAAAAUAUGCUUUAAAAAUUAAUUAGUUAACAACUUACUCGAUUGCACAUGGUAGGUAGUCUAUAGGCACGGGAUUUAGCAUUAUCGGCCUAAUAAUUGGGAUUUUCUCCCAAGCCCACAACUGUAACAAUGUAAGAGCACCCCCAACAUCGGUCCUCUUACCAAGUGCAGCUUCACAUAAAUUGUGGUACAAGAGCACCCCCAACAUCGGUUAUCUUACCAAGUGCAGCUUCACAUAAAUUGUGGUACAGGCAUGCAAGAGUCGCACCACCCCAGCUAUAGGUACUACAUCGUUCUAUAUCCAUGAAAAAUUGAAUGUAGGAAAAUGGAAUUUUAUUACCAGAUGCGUUAGGGAUCAACAAACCACAAAGUAACAACAGACAAUACACACGAGCACGUUGCGCGUACAUGUACUCUUCGUGAUCAUCACUCAACUCAAUCCUCAAUUGAGCUGAUAAGGCUGUCUGCUUCCAGUUCAUUUCUUUCAAAUCAACUUGAUCUGGUAUAAAGCCAAGAAAAUUCAGACAAACCUCCUUCCAAUGGUUUACAUCCUUAGUAGGGAUGUAACCCGUCAGAGCUUCACCGUCAGUGUUGAGGCACCACAAGACCUCCACGUCUUCUAAUGUCACAGUCACCGACUGAAAAGUGAAACGUGUGCGUCUCUGGCCUCCAGCGUUCAAUCAAAGUGGUGAUGAGAUGGUGGUCAAUAUCUUUCGGUUUACCACACCUCAACAUCCCCCCAAACCCCAUCAUGUCUACAAUCGCCAAGACACGAGGAUGUAUGGGAACAUCCCAAAUGAUACCUUCGUACCUUCUGCAGCGUAGGUCUUGUGAGGGUUCUCCAGCCCAUAUAUUGUUAGAGACGUGUUGUCUCUGAAAAUAUAGUACAGAUGGGUCCUCAGGACCACAUAAUAGUCUUCUGCGAGCACUAAAAGAUGAUGCCAUAAUUCGCCUACACAAAGUUACGCAAAAUUAAUAACAAUUCGCCUACACAAUAUUACACAAAACAAACUAACCAAUAUACAUCGACAUAAACAAUUUCAAUAAUUUGUCAAUAUUGAACCCAAAUAAUGCAAUACACUUUAAAACUCAUAUAAAUCAUAACAAGUUGCCCGAAUUUUAAGCAAGAACAACACUAGGGUUUAGGUUGUUAAUCCAUAUUUAUACCCUAACUCAACACCAAUAUCUCAACUAUUAAGCAACAAUAAUGUCAUCCAAGCAAUCAAAUAUGCUAAAUAAUAAAUCUACACAAUAUUUCAACACAAUAUUUCAACUCAAUUCACAACCAAUUACAAACUCUAGCUAACUAUCCAACAAUUACUCAAAUAAUGUAAAAGAUAAGCAUACUAACCGAAAAUAAUAAUAUACAAAUUUGGGGGAAAAUAGCACCGAUAGAUGGAUGGAGGGCGAAUUCGCGUGGAGCAGAUAAAAUCGCGAUUGUGUGUGUGUUGUGGCUGAGUUUUUCGCGAUUUGGGGGAGGAGAAGGGGAUAUAUCAGAUCUGUAUAAAGCCGCCACUGGUAUUGGCGUCUUCUCUUAAACUCGCCGACCUCGUUGGCGUCUUUUAUAAGUAUAAACGUCAAUCCCAUUGGCGUGUUACACUCAAAACUGUAUUUUUAAAAAAUACGACUAAAAUACGAUGAAAUUAAAAGACGCCAACUUUGUUGGCGUCUUUACGUUAAACAUGCCACUGUUGUUGGCGUGUUUUACUUAUAAAAACGCCUAUGCGGUUGGCGUGUUUCCCAUAAAUGGAACAGAUAACAAAACUGGUACAUUUCCGUUAUUUCUAAAGCCAACUGGCCUAGAAACCCGAUUUUCCCGUGAAGUGGUGGUGCUCUAUAUGCUAAUAUGAUUCAUGUUUGAGUUUGGAAGAAGGAGAAGAGGGUAGAAAUUACCUCCUUACUUGCUCUGAUUCUUGUCUCUAUUUUCAGCCCCCCUCUCACUCUUUUUUUCUGCCUAUCUUGAAAAUGAUAUGAGGUGGUGAAAGAAGUAAAACCGAGGGGUUUUAUAGACCCUUCUUGUGUACUUGGAGUUUGUUAGGAUUUUGGCAGAGAUGCAUUUUGAUUCUUUGGCUCUUUGCUAACAUAUUCUUGUGGUUUAUGGGUAUGUACUCGUGAUAUAAAUGGAGUUGCUAUAGUAUUUUGUUCUCUUCUUGCAGUAACUUCUUUUUCCUUUGAUGCUGCCGCACUUUUACCUGAAUCUUGGUGUUGAAUUGCAGGUAUACAACAAGGAUGUGGGUUGUUAGCUGCGCUUUGCAGGCUGCCGCGGCUAAAAAGGCUGAUAUUGCUCCAUGGCAGCCUUCGGUUAGGGCUGGGGAGUGCAGGGGUUGUUGCCAUCUAUCUUCCCUAAUUUGGCAUCCCCUUGGUCCUCCUCUAAAAGGAGCAGAGGCUGGCUACCGAGGCUGCCCUUCCUCGCGAUCUCGCCCUCUCGGCUUGUCUGAGAUACUGGGCCGAGACGGCCUAGUGAUGAAGAUCAACGUAGUUGCUAGGGACCUCGAGUUGUAUUAGCGUAGUGCGACUGCGAAUUUCUUUUAAAUUUGUAUGCAAAACUCGAUACUAGUUGGUGUGUCCUUCUUUGUAACUUAUUAGCUUGAAAUUCUUCAUAUUGUAUAUAUUGAUUUUUAUCUAAGAAAUAAAAAUGCUUUUUCACUCUUCAA